CUCCUGACUUCAGGUGAUCUGCCUUGACCUCCCAAAGUGCUGGGAUUACAGGCACGAGCCACCGCGCCCAGCCACAUGUGGUAUUCUUAAUUCUUAUACAUCACACUUGAGGUAUGCAACACUCGUUGUUUCUCAACUGUCCUGUACUCCCUUCUCAGACUCUGUUCCAAUAACCUCUGCUGGAAGACAGCAGAUUUUGAAACCCUAUUCCCAUUCCCUUACCAAAGUUGACCAGUCAAGGGGAGAGGAGGUGGUUAUUUGACCUAAACUUGGCUAGCCAAAUUUUUUCUCCUGAAAAUUUGGAAUCAAGUUUGAGAAACUUCAAUAAGUAAAGUGUAAGAGGUGUAAGGCAGAGACUAAUGAUGUAAUGUAGAAUGGAGAUUGAAAGUGCCUUUCUUUUUUUUUUUGAGACGGAGUCUUGGUCUGUCGCCCAGGCUGGAGUGCAGUGGCAUGAUCUCGGCUCACUGCAACCUCUGCCUCCCGGGUUCAAGUGAUUCUCCUGCCUCAGCCUUCCAAGUGGUUUGGGAAUGGUCUGUGAGGCAAAUGCUAUUAUCCUCUCUUGCAGAUGAAGCCCUGAAAUAGAGAAUUGAGCAUUCCAAAGCCACAAAAGAGAGCAGAGAAGGCACUAGGACUAGUGUACUUAUCAGUUCUACUUAAGCUGAGCCCGGAAUCCAUUGUAGAAGAUGCAGUGACUUGAUGGGUUUGCAAUUAUAUCACUAAGGCUUCACUGGUUUAAUUUACUUAGAAUGCACUAUUCAUAAAACACAGGCUCUGCGGGAAAUGGGACUCAAAUGCCUGGAAAAAUGGCACCUUUGAAAAAAUUAGAUUCAAGAAGGGUUUAAAACUAAUCUAGCGGGGUCAAAAUUUAAAGAAAAAAAAUGCAUCAGGCAUUUUACUUAGAUGAAAAUUUUCAUUUCCACGUAAAAUGUAACGAACAAAUGCAAGUUUACCAGUAUUGCCAGCAUCAUAAGAACAGGAAAUAGGCCGUGGUGGGAGGAUUGCUUCAGCCCAGAAAUUUGAGACCAGCCUGGGCAAACAGCAAGACCCCAUCUCUACAAAUAAUUUAAAAAUGAGCUGGGCAUGGUGGCACAUGCUUGGAAGUCUCAGCUACUCAGGAGGCUGAGAUAGGAGGAUCACUUGAGCCAGGGAGAUCAAGGCUGCAGUGAUCCGUGAUCAUGGUACUGCACUCCAGCCUGGGAGACAGAGCAAGGCCACAUCUCAAAAAAAAAAAAAAAAAGUAUACAGAAUAAAUAGCAAAACUUAGAUUCAUGAUCACACACAUAAUUUAAUUUCUACGGAUGAAACAUACAUGGACACUUUCUAUGACUAAAAUAUGGAAUUUGGGCUGGGCACAGAGACUUCUGCCCAUAAUGCCAGCACUUUGAGAGGCCAUGGUGGGAGGAUCACUUGAGGCCAGGAGUUUGACCCUGCAGUAAACUAUGAUGGUGCCACUGCACUCCAGCCUAGGCGACAGAGCGAGACCCUGUCUCUAAAAAAUAAAUACAUAAAUAUGGAAUUUGGAACAAUAAACAUAUUUACUACCAAUCCACCAUAUUCAAGUACAUUCUAUGUUUUACAUUGAGAAGACAUAAAGGAGAACAUUCCCCUGAUUUUGAUCUUAGUCUUCAGUUUAUACAAACUUCCAUGUAAAACAAAACUGGAAACUACCCACUUGAUGUUCUUGACCAACUCUCUGAAUAAUUAUCCACAUUAAUAUUUGUUCAUUUCUUCAUUCAUUAAAUUUUUAAUGAGCCCUCACCAGAUGCCAGACUCUCUGAGGACACAGCAGAGAACAAAGAUAGCCAAAGUCCCUGCUGUCAUGAAACGGAGCUUACACUCAAGUGUGGAAGACAGACAACGCACAAGUAAAUAAGCGUAAGAGGCCACGCUGCUGUUCUCACUCUGUUACCCAGGCUGGAGUGUAGUGGUGUGAUCACAGCUAACUGCAGCCUUGACCUCAUGGGUUCAAGCAGUCCUUCCACCUCAGCCUGCCAUGUAGUUGGGACCACAGUUGCAGCCUGGGAUCCUGAAUGGAGUGUUACCCUCCUCGGAUAUGUGCCAAAACCCUAUCUCCAGGGCAAAUGGACUUCCCAGGCAGAUGAGAAAAAGAUCACAUUACUCAUGUUCAACAUAUUACCUCAGUUACACAAGCAUCGUGGAAUUUUGUGCAUUUGGAUGGAAGACAACUGUUUCUUUAUCUUCUUCCAAUGUCAGGAGUAAGUUCGGUGAUUAUAAGUACAAUAUAUUUUAAGCAGAAUUAGUGUAAUAUGUAACAUGUUUUAUG